GACGAACGCUGGCGGCGUGCCUAACACAUGCAAGUCGAACGGAGUUAAGACUUCGGUUUUAACUUAGUGGCGAACGGGUGAGUAACGCGUGAGGAACCUGCCUCUCAGUGGGGGACAACAGUUGGAAACGACUGCUAAUACCGCAUAAUGUUUCUGGACCGCAUGAUCUGGAAACCAAGCUUUAUGUGCUGAGAGAUGGCCUCGCGUCUGAUUAGCUAGUUGGCGGGGUAACGGCCCACCAAGGCGACGAUCAGUAGCCGGUCUGAGAGGAUGAACGGCCACAUUGGGACUGAGAUACGGCCCAGACUCCUACGGGAGGCAGCAGUGGGGAAUAUUGGGCAAUGGGGGAAACCCU
rnacentral:rRNA from 1 species